AGCGAACGCUGGCGGCAGGCUUAACACAUGCAAGUCGAACGCCCGUAGCAAUACGGGAGUGGCAGACGGGUGAGUAACACGUGGGAACGUGCCCUUCAGUUCGGAACAACCCAGGGAAACUUGGGCUAAUACCGGAUACGUCCGUAAGGAGAAAGAUUUAUCGCUGAAGGAUCGGCCCGCGUCUGAUUAGCUAGUUGGUGAGGUAACGGCUCACCAAGGCGACGAUCAGUAGCUGGCUGAGAGGACGAUCAGCCACACUGGGACUGAGACACGGCCCAGACUCCUACGGGAGGCAGCAGUGGGGAAUCUUGGACAAUGGGCGCAAGCCUGAUCCAGCCAUGCCGCGUGAGUGAUAAGG
rnacentral:rRNA from 1 species